rnacentral:lncRNA from 1 species
AGAGUCAGAAAAGCUGAGUAAGAUGAGUUCUCUCCUGGAACGGCUCCAUGCAAAAUUUAACCAAAAUAGACCCUGGAGUGAAACCAUUAAGCUUGUGCGUCAAGUCAUGGAGAAGAGGGUUGUGAUGAGUUCUGGAGGGCAUCAACAUUUGGUCAGCUGUUUGGAGACAUUGCAGAAGGCUCUCAAAGUAACAUCUUUACCAGCAAUGACUGAUCGUUUGGAGUCCAUAGCAAGACAGAAUGGACUGGGCUCUCAUCUCAGUGCCAGUGGCACUGAAUGUUACAUCACGUCAGAUAUGUUCUAUGUGGAAGUGCAGUUAGAUCCUGCAGGACAGCUUUGUGAUGUAAAAGUGGCUCACCAUGGGGAG